GGCAGCACUACAAAGCAGAAGGAAGAAGGAGAGUCCCAUUUGCUCAUGCAGGCAGCCGUCUGAGACACCUCGGGAGGCAGCUGGGCAUGGUGUGCCUGGAGUCUGUGCAUGUGUGCUCAUCCCUGACAAGCACAAGGGCAAAGAGGAACUGUGAGCUGUAGCCACUUACAGGAGCUGUGAUCUGCCAAGCAAACCUCUCCCAGGGCCAGGGAAAGGCACCCAGACAGCCAGAACCCUGAGAAGGAGACAUGGGUCUCAUCCCGUGUGACACUACCGUGGGCUCCAGGCUCUUCUGGCUGGCCCUUUGCCUCCUUGGAGCAGGUCCAGGGGAGCCUAGAAUUAUCCAGACACCAAAACAUCUGGUCACAGCUGUGGGAAAUGAAAGGAUCCUGAGUUGUAAACAAUAUCUGGGACACAAUGCCAUGUAUUGGUACAGACAGGGUUCUAAGAAGUCCCUUGAGCUCAUGUUUUCCUACAACUAUAAAAAACUUGUUGAAAAUCAGACUGUUUCAAGUCGCUUUACACCUGACAAUUCAGAGACGUCCCACUUAAAACUUCAAGUGGCAGCCCUGAAGCCAGAAGACUCAGCCACAUAUCUGUGUGCCAGCAGCCAAGACACAGCCCUGCAAGGCUUUAGUCUCCCUAUACACAAACCUCCUCAGCCUAGCCAGGAAGUUGUGGGUGCAACAAGUCCUGAGACUAGUUCAGCAGCCCACAGCACUCAAGCAGAUACCUCAGCCCACACUACCACCUGUCAAUUCACUGGAUACCACAGUAACAAAUUCUGUGUCCACACAACAGCCACCUGA